rnacentral:piRNA from 1 species
GAAAGGUGGGAACCCCAGAGGAAGGGAGGG